rnacentral:rRNA from 1 species
UACGUAGGGGCAAGCGUUGUCCGGAAUCAUUGGGCGUAAAGAGCGUGUAGGCGGCCCGAUAAGUCCGCUGUGAAAGUCCAGGGCUCAACCCUGGGAUGCCGGUGGAUACUGUCGGGCUCGAGUCCGGAAGAGGAGUGUGGAAUUCCUGGUGUAGCGGUGAAAUGACGCAGAUAUCAGGAGGAACACCGGUGGCGAAGGCGGGUCUCUGGGCAACAACUGACGCUGAGGAGCGAAAGCGUGGGGAGCGAACAGG